UACGAAGGGUGCUAGCGUUGUUCGGAAUUACUGGGCGUAAAGCGCGCGUAGGCGGCUUCGCAAGUCAGGGGUGAAAUCCCGGGGCUCAACCCCGGAAUUGCCCUUGAAACUGCAAAGCUUGAGUGUCGGAGGGGAUAGCGGAAUUGCUAAUGUAGAGGUGAAAUUCGUAGAUAUUAGCAGGAACACCGGUGGCGAAGGCGGCUAUCUGGACGACAACUGACGCUGAGGCGCGAAAGCGUGGGGAUCAAACAGG
rnacentral:rRNA from 1 species